UACAGAGGCCUCGAGCGUUGUUCGGAAUUACUGGGCGUAAAGGGAGUGUAGGUGGUGAUGUAAGUCAGAUGUGAAAGCCCUGGGCUUAACCCGGGAAGUGCAUUUGAUACUGCAUCGCUAGAGUGCGAGAGAGGAAAGUGGAAUUUCCAGUGUAGGAGUGAAAUCCGUAGAUAUUGGAAGGAAUACCGAUGGCGAAGGCAACUUUCUGGCUCGCAACUGACACUGAGACUCGAAAGCGUGGGUAGCAAACAGG
rnacentral:rRNA from 1 species